rnacentral:rRNA from 1 species
GACGAACGCUGGCGGCGUGCCUAAUACAUGCAAGUUGAGCGCUGAAGGUUGGUACUUGUACCAACUGGAUGAGCAGCGAACGGGUGAGUAACGCGUGGGGAAUCUGCCUUUGAGCGGGGGACAACAUUUGGAAACGAAUGCUAAUACCGCAUAAAAACUUUAAACACAAGUUUUAAGUUUGAAAGAUGCAAUUGCAUCACUCAAAGAUGAUCCCGCGUUGUAUUAGCUAGUUGGUGAGGUAAAGGCUCACCAAGGCGAUGAUACAUAGCCGACCUGAGAGGGUGAUCGGCCAGAAUGGGAAUGAGACAAGGCACAAACUCCUACGGGAGGCAGCAGUAGGGAAACGUCGGAAAUAGACGAAAGUCUGACCGAGCAACGCCGAGUGAGUGAAGAAGGUUUUCGGAUCGUAAAACUCUGUUGGUAGAGAAGAAAGUUAGUGAGAGUGGAAAGCUCAUCAAGUGACGGUAACUACCCAGAAGGGGACGGCUAACUACGUG